rnacentral:rRNA from 1 species
GAUGAACGCUGGCGGCGUGCCUAAUACAUGCAAGUCGAGCGAACGGACGAGAAGCUUGCUUCUCUGAUGUUAGCGGCGGACGGGUGAGUAACACGUGGAUAACCUACCUAUAAGACUGGGAUAACUUCGGGAAACCGGAGCUAAUACCGGAUAAUAUUUUGAACCGCAUGGUUCAAAAGUGAAAGACGGUCUUGCUGUCACUUAUAGAUGGAUCCGCGCUGCAUUAGCUAGUUGGUAAGGUAACGGCUUACCAAGGCAACGAUGCAUAGCCGACCUGAGAGGGUGAUCGGCCACACUGGAACUGAGACACGGUCCAGACUCCUACGGGAGGCAGCAGUAGGGAAUCUUCCGCAAUGGGCGAAAGCCUGACGGAGCAACGCCGCGUGAGUGAUGAAGGUCUUGGGAUCGUAAAACUCUGUUAUUAGGGAAGAACAUAUGUGUAAGUAACUGUGCACAUCUUGACGGUACCUAAUCAGAAAGCCACGGCUAACUACGUG